AAAUUGAAGAGUUUGAUCAUGGCUCAGAUUGAACGCUGGCGGCAGGCCUAACACAUGCAAGUCGAACGGUAACAGGAAGCAGCUUGCUGCUUCGCUGACGAGUGGCGGACGGGUGAGUAAUGUCUGGGAAACUGCCUGAUGGAGGGGGAUAACUACUGGAAACGGUGGCUAAUACCGCAUAACGUCGCAAGACCAAAGAGGGGGACCUUCGGGCCUCUUGCCAUCAGAUGUGCCCAGAUGGGAUUAGCUUGUUGGUGAGGUAACGGCUCACCAAGGCGACGAUCCCUA
rnacentral:rRNA from 4 species